rnacentral:rRNA from 1 species
UGCGUAGGGAGCAAGCGUUGUCCGGAAUCAUUGGGCGUAAAGCGCGCGUAGGUGGCUUCAUAAGUCCGUUGUGAAAGUCAAGGGCUCAACCUUUGAAAGCCGAUGGAUACUGUGGAGCUAGAGUACGGAAGAGGCGAGUGGAAUUCCUGGUGUAGCGGUGGAAUGCGCAGAUAUCAGGAGGAACACCAAUAGCGAAGGCAGCUCGCUGGGACGUUACUGACACUGAGGCGCGAAAGCGUGGGGAGCGAGCAGG